CCUAGAACGUUUUUUUUCCUCUUUCAAUAAUAUAGUUGCAUUUAACUAUUUCUGAACCUUCGACAAAUGGUUUUUUAAAAUCACCGAUUUAUUGAAUUAUGUCGGUGAUUUCUCUUACAGAAUAAAAUAUUAUGUACUUUUAUUGCUGCAAAUUGUAAGCAAAAUAAGUUUUAAUGAGGAAAUUUUAAAAAAAAACUACUAAUAAUUGGAUUAAUUUGGAUAAAUUACUAUUAUUCUAAUGCUACUAUAGCGUCCAUCUCUCCGUAAGCAUUAUCAUUAGUAUUGAGGUCGACUAGAGCGCAACCUAUAGUUUCUUUCAAUCGUGAAUAUAGAUAUGGCAUGAUAUUGAUUAUUAUCAUAGUUCUA